GGCGCGGCGGGGGAUGGGAAAUCUCCAUUGCCAGAAGGCUGGGCUCCCGGCGUUUGAAACCGAGGGUGUGGGGUUCUGCGGUGCUCCGGGCUCGGGUUGAAUACCUGGAUCCCGAGGGAGGUGCAAACUGUAGCCCAGGAUGCCUCUCAGACGCGUCUGUGGCCAGAUGCUGCCGAGUCCCGCUGAAGGGGAAGCCUCCCGGCCCCCGAACAGAGCCUCGGGGACCUUCCCCAACUUCCAAACCUAACUCAAACCCUUCAAGAAGCUCCAGGUCGACUGCACUUCCGUCCUCCAAGCUUCAUCUCUUCUGGCAGAGCGGAAGCCUGUAGGCACUGUUUUGGGGACUGAGGAUACAAUCACAGACAAACCAAAGACCCUGAUUUAAUGAGGCAACAUGAGAAGAACAAUAAAAAAAAUCCUAUUAAUGAUUAAUAGGACUCUUUUUGAGCACCUACUAUGGAGUCAGGAAGUUAUCUUAUCCCCACAACAA